GAUGAACGCUGGCGGCGUGCCUAAUACAUGCAAGUCGAGCGAACAGACGAGGAGCUUACUCCUCUGACGUUAGCGGCGGACGGGUGAGUAACACGUGGAUAACCUACCUAUAAGACUGGGAUAACUUCGGGAAACCGGAGCUAAUACCGGAUAACAUGUUGAACCGCAUGGUUCAACAGUGAAAGACGGUCUUGCCGUCACUUAUAGAUGGAUCCGCGUCGCAUUAGCUAGUUGGUAAGGUAACGGCUUACCAAGGCAACGAUGCGUAGCCGACCUGAGAGGGUGAUCGGCCACACUGGAACUGAGACACGGUCCAGACUCCUACGGGAGGCAGCAGUAGGGAAUCUUCCGCAAUGGGCGAAAGCCUGACGGAGCAACGCCGCGUGAGUGAAGAAGGUCUUCGGAUCGUAAAACUCUGUUAUUAGGGAAGAACAAAUGUGUAAGUAACUAUGCACGUCUUGACGGUACCUAAUCAGAAAGCCACGGCUAACUACGUG
rnacentral:rRNA from 1 species